CUCCCCAGUCGCGCAGCUCAGAUGUGACUAUGUGGCUGCUGUGACUGAGGAGACGUACAGCAUCUAUCGCAGAACUGGAAGUCGUAGGGGCAAAGCUGCUUUUGUGUUACAGAACUGAGCAGUGCCCUUCCCUGGCUCAGCGCCCGGUGCCAACAGAACACCUUGCAGGAUCCUCAGCAGUGCAGACAACACUCCAAGAUGCCAGCCUCGGCUUGGAACGGAGCGGUGUCAUGGCGGAGACGACGGCCUUUGUCUCACAGGGUGUGAAAGCAUCCGUUGUGCUGGCUCCACUGCGGCAGAGUGACGUUUAAAGGGGGGAAAAAGUGCUGAAGGUCCGAGUUGAGCAGCGCUGGCAGGGGAGCCCCUAUCCCCACGGUGGUGUGCGUCCAAGGAAGGGCUUGCAGCGGAGGAGCCUGGUCUGUAAUCCUGGCACUUGCGCCUCUGUUGCUGCCUGCCGCUUGCUCCUGGGGGUCUGGAUAAUCUCCCUUAGCUUUACCGCACUGUCUGGCCCGCGCACAGGGCCCCCGUAACAUAUACCCGCUGCCGCGAUCGCAGGGAGCUGUGGCGUUGCCACUGAAUGGAUGGCACUGUGCCAACUCCGCUGCCAUCCGCCCUUGCAGCUCUUUUCCUCCCUCCUCCCUCCCGCUCUCCCCUCCUCCUCCUCCUCCCGUCGACUUGAUGUUAAUUAACACACGGGUUAAUUGAUUUUAAAAGCUGAAGAAUUACAGUUAACUUUUCCCACAGGGUAGGGACGCCAGCCGCCUGGCACAGCUCUGCUGCCUGGUGUAGGGGGGCAGGGAAGAGCCCGCAGCAAAGCCCGGGACUGCAAAGGACGGACGGAUGGACGUUGGCGUGCGGCUGGGGCGCUCCUGCCUCAUCCUCCCGACGUGUCACCACUAGAAUUUGCUAUAAACAAUCAAAGCGACCCCUCCCUUCGUCUCUCCUGCCCUCCCUCCUCACAGCAGGGUGAGCUCUGUUGAAGUUGCAGCAGGGACGCUGUGCCCCUUGAGCUUAGCACAGCACGUGAGUGACCACUGCUGAGGUGGGGCAGUGGAGGACACUGACUGGGGUAGGCUCGUCCUGUCAUCAGGGCUCCUUUUAGAUUCUUUAAUGGCCUCAGAUACAUUGCUUGGGGUUAAGCAUCUCAACCAGGGGAAAGUUAGUUUGUAAUUACAAGAGAAAUAAACCAUGUGAGGGAU
rnacentral:lncRNA from 1 species